rnacentral:rRNA from 1 species
GAAAGUAAUGAAGGGCGUACGGUGGAUGCCUAGGCUCUUACAGGCGAUGAAGGACGUGAUAAGCUGCGAAAAGCCGCGGUGAGGCGCAAAUGGCCCUUGACCCGCGGAUCUCCGAAUGGGACAACCCAAUAUCUUGAAGAGAUAUUAUCCCGCCGGUGCGGGAGGCGAACGCGGGGAACUGAAACAUCUUAGUACCCGCAGGAAAAGAAAAUAAAGAAUGAUUCCCCCAGUAGUGGCGAGCGACCGGGGAAGAGCCCAAACCGACGUUGUCUCGGCAUCGUCGGGGUUGUAGGACCGCGCCAUCGCAAGAAAGGCCGUGAGUGGAAGCGACUGGAAAGCCGCGCCAUAGAGGGUGACAGCCCCUUACACGAAGCAGCCCGAAGCGUAGCGGACUCCUGAGUAGCGCGGGACACGAGUAAUCCUGUGUGAAUCCGCCGGGCCCAUCCGGCAAGGCUAAAUACUCGUAAGAGACCGAUAGUGAACCAGUACCGUGAGGGAAAGGUGAAAAGUACCCCUUGCAGGGGAGUGAAAGAGUUCCUGAAACCGUACGCCUACAAGCGGUCGGAGCAUCUUGAAUGAUGUGACGGCGUGCCUUUUGCAUAAUGAACCUACGAGUUGCCGUCACCAGCGAGGUUAAGUGCGAUGACGCACCGAGCCGCAGCGGAAGCGAGUCUUAAAAGGGCGCGAUAGUUGGUGGAGGCAGACGCGAAACCGAGUGAUCUACACUUGUCCAGGAUGAAGUCCCGGUAACACGGGAUGGAGGUCCGCACCAAUAAGCGUUGAAAAGCUUCUGGAUGAGGUGAGUGUAGGAGUGAAAGGCCAAUCAAACUCGGAGAUAGCUCGUACUCCCCGAAAGGCAUUUAGGUGCCGCCUGUGGCGUUCCCGACGUGAGGUAGAGCGACUGAUAGGAUGCGAGGGCUUCACCGCCUAUCAAGUCCUGACAAACUCCGAAUGCACGUCGGCCAAGCCAUGGAGUAAGGGCAUGGGUGCUAAGGUCCGUGCCCGAGAGGAGAAGAAUCCAGACCACCGGCUAAGGUCCCGAAAUACUGGUUAAGUUAGACUAACGCAGUCCGGCCCCCAAGACAGCUAGGAUGUUGGCUUGGAAGCAGCCAUUCAUUCAAAGAGUGCGUAACAGCUCACUAGUCGAGGAGCUGGGCGUGGAUAAUAAUCGGGUAUGAAACCAGUUACCGAAGCCGUGGGAUGCUUAAGCAUCGGUAGGGGAGCAUUGCAUGCGGCUUAGAAGGCGGGGCGCGAGCCCCUCUGGAGCGCAUGGAAACGCAAAUGUAGGUAUAAGUAACGACAAGGGGGGUGGGAUGCCCCCCCGCCGAAAGACCAAGGUUUCCUGAACAACGCUAAUCGGUUCAGGGUCAGUCGGGUCCUAAGCAUAAGCCGUAUGGCGAGGGCGAUGGACGAAACGGUUAAUAUUCCGUUACUGUCUUGGUGUGUGACGCGGCGACGGAGUAGUGACACGGCCGCCUCCUGACGGAAAAGGGGGUUGAAGCGCAAAGGUGUCGAGGAAGGCAGGCAAAUCCACCUUCCGAGCCGAAGCGCGAAAGUACGCCGGGCCCUUUGGGGCAAGGCGAUAGUGCCGGUAAUCAGACUUCCAAGAAAACCCGCUAAACUUCAGCACCAAGUCACCCGUACUCUAAACGGACACACGUGGUCGGGUAGAAUAUACUAAGGCGCUUGGGAGAUUCACGGUUAAGGAACUAGGCAAAUUGACCCCGUACCUUCGGAAUAAGGGGUCCUCGCUUUUGCGAGGCGCAGAGAAUAGGUCCAGGCAACUGUUUAACAAAAACACAGGGCUGUGCAAAUUUGAAAGAAGAAGUAUACAGCCUGACACCUGCCCGGUGCCGGAAGGUUAAGAGGAGAGCUCAUCAGCGAUGAGAAGGUUUGAAUUGAAGCCCCGGUAAACGGCGGCCGUAACUAUAACGGUCCUAAGGUAGCGAAAUUCCUUGUCGGGU